GACGGACGCUGGCGGCGUGCUUAACACAUGCAAGUCGAACGGAAAGGCCCUGCUUUUGUGGGGUGCUCGAGUGGCGAACGGGUGAGUAACACGUGAGUAACCUGCCCUUGACUUUGGGAUAACUUCAGGAAACUGGGGCUAAUACCGGAUAGGAGCUCCUGCUGCAUGGUGGGGGUUGGAAAGUUUCGGCGGUUGGGGAUGGACUCGCGGCUUAUCAGCUUGUUGGUGGGGUAGUGGCUUACCAAGGCUUUGACGGGUAGCCGGCCUGAGAGGGUGACCGGCAACAUUGGGAUUGGGGAACGGCCCGGGCGCCUUGGGGGGGAAGGGGGGGGAAAUAUUGCCAAAGGGGCGGAGGGCGGAUGGAACAACGCCGGGUUGGGGAGGACGGCCUUCGGGAUAGAAACGCCUUUCGCUUGUAACGAGGGGUGGGGAAGGGAAAGGGGGAAAAAGGCCCCGGUAAACUAGUG
rnacentral:rRNA from 1 species